rnacentral:misc_RNA from 1 species
GGGCCAGCUAAGGGUCAAGUUUUGGGCCAGCUAGGGGUCAAGUUUUCAUGCCUUGCUUGCCUGAGAAAAUCCCAAGGUGUACUUGUUUGAUACAAGAUAAAUCACAUUACUGAUUUUCUUGAAGUGCAGAAUCGCGGGGUGUAAUUUUGCCUUUUAUUUAUCAUAUUCUGCCAAAUGCAGGCACUUUCUACUAUUAUAUUCUUUCAUUUAUAUCUUCCAUUUGAUAUGUGCUUUUGGACCAUUAUUUGUAACUUUAAUUUUAUUAUGAGCCAUGGAUUUGAGUUGCUGGAGCUGUUAAAUCCAGUUAGUUGUUGCUAUGUGCAUACAUAUUAUUCCACAACCCUUUUAUCUGUUGAGG